rnacentral:rRNA from 1 species
AUAUCAAAUCAGGAAGAACUACCCGCGGAACUUAAGCAUAUCAAUAAGCGGAGG